GUCUACCGCCAUAGCACCCUGAGUGCGCCCCAUCUCUUAUGCUCUCGGAAGCUAAGCAGGGUCAGCCCUGAUUAGUACUUGGAUAGCAGAAAGCAUUGAUGCCUAGGGAAGUUACUUAACCUCUCUAGGCU
ensembl:rRNA 5S_rRNA 5S ribosomal RNA